AUUGAACGCUGGCGGCAGGCCUAAUACAUGCAAGUCGAGGGGUAGAUGGGGCUUGCUCCAUUGAGACCGGCGCACGGGUGCGUAACGCGUAUGCAACCUACCUUGAUCUGGGGGAUAGCCCGGAGAAAUCCGGAUUAACACCGCAUAAAACCACAGCAGGACAUCCUGCAAUGGUCAAACAUUCAUGGGAUCAGGAUGGGCAUGCGUGCCAUUAGCUUGUUGGCGGGGUAACGGCCCACCAAGGCUACGAUGGCUAGGGGAUCUGAGAGGAUGGCCCCCCACACUGGUACUGAGACACGGACCAGACUCCUACGGGAGGCAGCAGUAAGGAAUAUUGGUCAAUGGAGGCAACUCUGAACCAGCCAUGCCGCGUGCAGGAAGACGGCCCUCCGGGUUGUAAACUGCUUUUAUCCGGGAAUAAACCUAUCUACGUGUAGAUAGCUGAAUGUACCGGAGGAAUAAGGAUCGGCUAACUCCGUGCCAGCCGCCGCCGUAA
rnacentral:rRNA from 1 species